rnacentral:rRNA from 1 species
GACGAACCGUGCGAACGUUAUUCGGAAUCACUGGGCUUAAAGCGCGUGUAGGCGGGAAGGUACGUCCGUCGCUGAAAUCCCCCGGCUCAACCGGGGAACGGGCGCGGAGUACGGCCAUCCUGGAGGGGCGUAGGGGGACCUGGAACUUCCGGUGGAGCGGUGAAAUGCGUUGAGAUCGGAAGGAACGCCCGUGGCGAAAGCGAGGUCCUGGACGCCUACUGACGCUGAGACGCGAAAGCCAGGGGAGCGAACGGG